rnacentral:rRNA from 1 species
AGAAUCAACGCUGGCGGCGUGCCUAACACAUGCAAGUCGAACGCGAAAGGGGCUUCGGCCCUGAGUAGAGUGGCAAACGGGUGAGUAACACGUGGGUGACCUGCCCUCGAGCGGGGGAUAACGUCCCGAAAGGGACGCUAAUACCGCAUGACAUCCUGCCUUUGAACAGGCGGAGAUCAAAGCUGGGGAUCGCAAGACCUAGCACUCGAAGAGGGGCCCGCGCCUGAUUAGCUAGUUGGUGAGGUAACGGCUCACCAAGGCUACGAUCAGUA